UUAUUGUCAGUGUGCUGAAAAGUCCUACACAGAAACUCAUGUACACAAAAUUUCAAGAGGGUCUUAAAUGUCUGUAAUAUUGAAAAUAUUGGCUAUUACUCCCAGAUCACGAAGUGAUCCUCUUAGGUUAAUGGUUUCCUAGACAAAAAUUUCCAGUUGGUUUACACAGGAAGCCACAAAAACUAACAUUCACUGAAGUGGUUUUCCUUUAAGCAAACACAAGUAUCAGAACAGCAGACAGCAGGCAAGAACUGGAUUCAGUAAUAUUGUAUUCUAAAGAAUUUUCAAUCAACCAAACUCUUCAACAAAACCCUUGAACAAACAUUUGAAUAAAGUCCAUACCCUACCUGCCAGGGGCCUGCAAACAUUUCAUGGAAACAACAGAAUUACAAGCACAAUCUAACAUCUUUGUAGUUGGCUCUACUUGGAGGAGAGACUGGACCUCCAGAGGACCGUCCCAAUCCUAUCUGGCCUAUGACAUCACAUAUCUGUUGUUUUGAGCAAUGAAUGUCAGCUGAGAAUCCAGGCAUCUCAUUUCUAAGCCCUUGAAGAAUCCUUUUUUCGUGAAGAAAGCUACUGCCAGAGGGGAUAGGAUAACUGGAGAGGGGCAGGGGAUUUACUUUCUCCUUCCAGGGCACUAAUGGCAGUAGACAGUCCAGGCCAAAACACAUAAGAGGGGAGCAAAGUGACAUCUGGACCAGGAGACCUAUUUUGUAUUUCUUCCAGGACAUGCAAGUAUAACUUCUACCAACACUACUGAGAAGCUGCCAUGUUUGUGAAACAUUGAGAGGAUUAGUGUUGGUCUAGGAAAAAAAUAGAAAGGAGUGGAACAAAAGACUAUUGGAGAGACCAGAAGUAUUGUGGAAGACCAAAAUUGCAAUAGAUUAUUUCAUUCAACAAAAUGAGAUUCCUUUCACUCGGAAAGAAAAGCAUAGCAUCCCACAUAUGGCAAUGUUGAUAGAUUUUAAAUUCUAACUCUGUAGGGACAAUUUGAAGUCUAUUUUCCUUCUUCUGACUGUUGGAUCACUGCUAAAAUGAAAAUACGAUAAAAGUCACUGCUUCCAGAGAUCAAACUUUCCAUUGUUCUUUGAAUAAGAAAUUGUAUUUGAGUACAGUGGUUUGCAUAAGAAUCAGUCCCUUUCUUUAUACCAAGUCAGUUAUUUUCAGCUCAGAGUAGCAAUCUUUGAUUUCUUGGUUGUAACUAUGGCAAUAAGAUUAGAUGGUAUUCAGUAAAAUUCAUUUUGCAAAUUAGCAUGGGAGGGUGCCCAUGACUGUGAUAGGAGAAAUGUAAAAAUAUUGUGGAAUGAGAUUGAAAUUAAAUCAGAACUCAGAAUACUCCUCAAAAUAAUGAUUCUCAAACUCAUCCAGCACCAUCUGAUUGUUUGUGAAUGAUUUACAGUUAGCCACAAUAAACAUGAUGGGAUCAAUGGGCCUGAUGGGCAUUAUAUUUCUUACUCAAAGACAUUUUUAAAAAAGCAUUUUAAGCCCAUUUUGGGUGGAUGCUGAAUUCUUUGAUCUGGGACUUUUGUAACAGUAGCAGUCAAAUCAAUUUCAAACACUUUCAUUACAGCACAAAUCUACAAAGCUCGUUAUGGUCUGAGAAGAAAUAAAAUACAAGAAAUAUAGAAGUUGUCCCCUAUGCUUCAGGCCAUGUUAUAAUGAGAGUGAGAAUGAGCAGUGGUAGAUACUAUUUUGAAUUCUGCCUCUGUGUUUCUGCUGCAUGGUACAGUCCUGUCAAUUCACCAGAACAGCAGACCUUAAUUUGCACACACUAAAGAUAGCUUCCUGAAGUUUAAAUCAUUUUCAAUAAAUCUUGGGUUUAAUCAUAUUUCUUUUCUAAUGAGUCUCCUGUCAAUACCCUGCCUUUGCUGUUCUUAAUUAUAUAUGCCAUCAAAAGGAAGGCAGGUUUAGAUACAUUUUUUUCCCAGAAGUUUAGCAAACACCUUUUUUAUUAUCAUUGGCCUUUUUCCCAAGGAAACUGUUACCUUAAUAAGAAAAGCAUUGAAAAAGAAAUGUAUUUUGAAGAAAUAUUUUACUAGCUUGUUUUUUCAUUGGUUUGCUGUGACAUGUUCCUUCAUUUUAUAUGAUGUGAUACUGAAUUGAUAUUGAUAUGGUUUUUUCAAAGUAUAUUAA